AGAGGAAUAGCUGGGUCAAAUGGUGGUUCCAUUCCCAGAUUUCCAAGGAAUCUCCAUACUGCUUUCCAAAUUGGCUGCACCAAUUUGCAGUCCAACCAGCAAU
rnacentral:pre_miRNA from 1 species